GCCCUCGGGCGGUCCUGGAGCUGCCCCGGGCCCCUUCCUCCUAACUGUUCCCCCGUCCGUCCGCCGACGCAUCCUUCGGCACGGAUCCUCACAGCUCGGCCUCGGGCUGGUGGCAAGAGGCAGCUCCUGGCUGGCGGUACAAAGUAAAUAUCGAUCGAGGCCUGACGCGGCCCCGAAGCCGCGCUUCCACCCGGCUCCCGCCUCCCGAUACCAGCGGGGCUCGGGGAAAUCGAGCAGCUCUUCGCCUUCCCUGCCGGAGGCUCCAGCCCGUGGCUCCAGCCCGUGGUGCGCGACAGGGCCCGCCUUGCUGGAAGCGCAGCUCCCGAGAGCUGGCACGUGCUCGCAGCCGUGUCCGCGUGCUCCAGUAGGGAGGGAUCUGACUGUGCCCCCGGCUGCAGGAUUUCGUUCUCCCAUUGCAAACAUCACCUCGGCUCCGUGCAGGGGACAGCCCAGCCCGCGCUUCCGUACUGCGCACCUCCCUGAGGCACCGCACCGGGCACGGACACCUCCAGCACCAAGUAACCGCAGUCUGGACUUGGUGCAAUCUGCUAAUUAACCCUGGAUGUCUUCAACUUGCUGCGUCUCUGGUUUGCAGGCAGCUGUGCUUCUCUCCAGUUUGUUUGCAGCUCCAGCUUGUGGACUGGAAUUCUCCUAGACUUCUCCAGCUCUAUUUUGGCUCCAGCCGACAGUGCUUCCCCUACCUCCAUGACAAGUUGGUGAGCACGGGAAACCAGUGUAAGACCAUUGGCAUGGUUAAAUGUUUCAGAAAUGUCUUGCCCAAAUGUGUAGCCGGCACCACGUGGAGAUAUACCCCAGCCGCCACGAUCAUCUGGAUCCGACCACAACAGAUCACACAUUGGACCCUUGAAAAAAAGUGAGUGUUCUUUGUUAGUUUUCAUCAUGAUUACAAAAUAGUUAUAAAAAUACAACUUUAAAUAUUUACAGUAAAAAGCCUGCCUGCAUGUUCUUCUCUGCAUAAGCCACAUAUGUUUAUCUAGCAAUAGUUACUCCAGUCAACAUCCAUUCACAAGGAAUGAAUACGCACACAGCUGAGCAGUCUGUACUACCAGAGAACUGUGUGGCCACCUCCAGCACACACUGCUUACCAGCUCGCUUCACCUAGCCAGAGCUGCAAAGAUGUGCAGAACAGAUCCACGUGCUUCUUCCUGACUCUCACAGUAUAAUAAAGGCCACACAGGAAAACAUGUAUGCAAGUCCGAGGAUACACAAAGGGUUCAUCAGUGCCAGCCAACUUGUAAUAAAUUAAUGGAAGGGAAAUUAUCCACAUGAAGCUAUGAACUAAUCAAAAGAUUGAUGGUUAAUCUUCAGCAGUUCUUCUGGCAGGGUAUUAAGCAUGUAAUUUUCUCUGCUGAAUUGUUCUUCAUUGGAUUUUACAUAUUCAGAAAUAUCCUGGUACUUUUAACAAUCACAAGUGAAGCUCAGCAGCUUUUCUCGCUGAGCUAUUAAGAAACUCAGGGGCACUACAAACUGUCUAGUACUUAUCAAAGCCCUCUGCUGUUUCCCAUCCAUUGAUCCAAGCUACGUGGUAGGGAUCACGUACAGACGUUCUUGGGAAACGGAUUCAGCAAUCAGAUGCGGCAUAAGACUGUGAAAACCCCAGAGUAACAAAACAAUAAUUACCAUCUAUCCACAAUCAGAAGCCCCACCAGGCAGCCUCCUUCCUAAUUCUGGAGGCAAUUCCAACAGCUUAUUUCAGGUUUUCAGAAAUCUCAGACAGACCUUGCCACUCUAUUCUUGCUCCUGUACCCAACACGUUUCAGGACAAGCAGUUUGUUUCCAUGGGGGGGAUCAAGACCAUCUGUAAGCCCCAACAAUUCCAACACAGCAGAGCUAUUUGCUAGCCUUGGAGCUCAGAGAGUGGUUUCUUCAGUCCAACUGGCACUCCCCAGCUGCUCCACAUGGGACUCCUGCACAUCAGCAUGUCCUAUAGGCUCCCUCUAACUUUGUCAAGUCCCCCAGAAGAAAGAGGGUAGCAAUGAACACGGUGAAGACACAAAAAGGACUGGCUGAGGUGGAGGGACAGUGACAUGACAGCUUAGUGUGCUGGUGGUUGGUUCACAAGGAAGUGUGCAAUGGGGCACUUUCCCUUGGCAACAUGACUGAGUCAUCAUAACAGUCAAGAAAAUCUGUUGCUGUGAAAAACAGCUGUGAAAACCUCACAGCUGUCCUUUUGCACACUGCUGUAAUCACAGCAUAUUGACUUGGGUGUGUUUUAACCAAAUGAAUUUUCAUUUGCUAUAGCUCUUACUGAGGCAAUAACCUUCUGCAGAACAGCAUGUCUCACUGCGUGAAUGCAUUUCUGCAUGACUAUACAUUUGCAUUUUCA